rnacentral:tRNA from 1 species
GGGCCGUUAGCUCAGGCGGUAGAGCACCUGACUUUUAAUCAGGGAGUCACUGGUUCGAGUCCAGUACGGCCCACCA